rnacentral:rRNA from 1 species
CCGCGUGUAUGAAGAAGGCCUUCGGGUUGUAAAGUACUUUCAGCGGGGAGGAAGGUGUUGUGGUUAAUAACCACAGCAAUUGACGUUACCCGCAGAAGAAGCACCGGCUAACUCCGUGCCAGCAGCCGCGGUAAUACGGAGGGUGCAAGCGUUAAUCGGAAUUACUGGGCGUAAAGCGCACGCAGGCGGUCUGUUAAGUCAGAUGUGAAAUCCCCGGGCUCAACCUGGGAACUGCAUUUGAAACUGGCAGGCUUGAGUCUCGUAGAGGGGGGUAGAAUUCCAGGU